rnacentral:ncRNA from 1 species
UGAGGAACACCGGUGGGCCGGCCCCGGGGACGGGGCGGCGAAUCCGGGGCGGUCCCGCCACUGUGACCGGGGUCGGCGUGCCGGACCCGGAAGCCAGAUACUC